rnacentral:rRNA from 1 species
UGGGGAAUAUUGGACAAUGGGGGGAACCCUGAUCCAGCCAUGCCGCGUGUGUGAAGAAGGCCUUAUGGUUGUAAAGCACUGUAAGCGAGGAGGAGGGUACUGGUAUUAAUACUACCAGCUACUGGACGUUACUCGCAGAAUAAGCACCGGCUAACUCUGUGCCAGCAGCCGCGGUAAUACAGAGGGUGCGAGCGUUAAUCGGAUUUACUGGGCGUAAAGCGUGCGUAGGCGGCUAAUUGAGUCGGAUGUGAAAUCCCCGAGCUUAACUUGGGAAUUGCAUUCGAUACUGGUUAGCUAGAGUGUGGGAGAGGAUGGUAGAAUUCCAGGUGUAGCGGUGAAAUGCGUAGAGAUCUGGAGGAAUACCGAUGGCGAAGGCAGCCAUCUGGCCUAACACUGACGCUGAGGUACGAAAGCAUGGGGAGCAAACAGG